rnacentral:rRNA from 1 species
CAGAACGAACGCUGGCGGCAGGCUUAACACAUGCAAGUUGAACGGGAAUCUGAGGAUAGCUUGCUAUCUGAGGAGGAGAGUAGCGCACUGGUGAGUAACACGUGGGAACGUACAUUGUAGUGGGGAACAACAGAGGGAAACUUCUGCUAAUACCGCAUACGCCCUGAGGGGGAAAGAUUUAUCGCUAUGAUAUCGGCCCGCGGAAGAUUAGGUAGUUGGCAGGGUAACGGCCUACCAAGACUGCGAUCAGUAGCCGGACUGAGAGGUUGAACGGCCACAUUGGGACUGAGAUACGGCCCAGACUCCUACGGGAGGCAGCAGUGGGGAAUAUUGGGCAAUGGGCGAAAGCCUGAACCCCAGCAACGCCGCGUGAAGGAAGAAGGUCUUCGGAUUGUAAACUUCUUUUAUGAGGGACGAAGGACGUGACGGUACCUCAUGAAUAAGCCACGGCUAACUACGUGCCAGCAGCGGC